UCAGGUGUCGUUCGAGGAAGCAAAAGAAAUCAUGAAACACGAUCCUGAAAGAUUCAAAUCCCUUGUCCAAGAAAGCCUUCGCCGACAAGUGGCUGCAAUCAAUAAGCUAUCKAGUCGUGGGAUGUGUUUCUGGGAUUAUGGCAAUGCUUUCCUCCUGGAAGCGAGUCGAGCCGACGCACCGGUUAACAAGGAGGGAUGCCUUCCUGGUACGUUUGUUUAUCCUUCAUAUGUACAAGAUAUCAUGGGGUAAGAGUCUAUCGUAUUUUCUUGUAAUCUCUUUUGUAAUUAGGGCCUGGUAUAAAGUUAAAAAUAGCUCGUCGCGGCACGCAUGAA